UACGGAGGGUGCGAGCGUUGUCCGGAAUCACUGGGCGUAAAGGGCGCGUAGGUGGCGCGGGAAGUCAACGGUGAAAGUUCGGGGCUCAACCCUGAAUCGGCCGUCGAUACUCCCGGGCUCGAGCACUGUAGAGGCAGAUGGAAUUCCGGGUGUAGCGGUGGAAUGCGCAGAUAUCGGGAGGAACACCAAUAGCGAAGGCAGCUCGCUGGGACAGUACUGACGCUAAGGCGCGAAAGCGUGGGGAGCGAACAGG
rnacentral:rRNA from 1 species